UGAGCGCCUGGUGCAGGAUCGGCCGGCCACUGACCACACCCUUACUUUACGAGCACCUUUCGUUCUCCUUCGGCGGGGCAACCCGCCGCUGGACCCUCAUCAAACCUUUUUUUGCAUCUAGCAUUACCUGUUCUGAUAAAAAACAAUCGUAACAACUUUCAACAAUGGAUCUCUUGGCUCUGGCAUCGAUGAAGAACGCAGCGAAAUGCGAUAAGUAGUGUGAAUUGCAGAAUUCAGUGAAUCAUCGAAUCUUUGAACGCACAUUGCGCCCCUUGGUAUUCCAUGGGGCAUGCCUGUUCGAGCGUCAUCUACACCCUCAAGCUCUGCUUGGUGUGGGCGUCUGUCCCGCCUCUGCGCGCGGACUCGCCCCAAAGGCAUUGGCAGCGGUCCACGGCCCCUCUCGCGCAGCACAUUGCGCUUCUCGAGGCGGCCCGGCCCGCAUCCACGAAGCCCACAUUACCGUCUUUGACCUCGGAUCAGGUAGGGAUACCCGCUGAACUUAAGCAUAUCAAUAGGCCGGGAGGGAAGAUCAUUAUCGAUGGCCGCGCCGUGAGCGCCUGGUGCAGGAUCGGCCGGCCACUGACCACACUUACUUUACGAGCACUUUGUUUCUCUUAGGGGGGGGCAACGCGCUGACUCAUCAAACUUUUUGUUGCAUCUGCACUACUGUUCUGAUAAAAAACAAUCGUAACAACUUUCACAAUGGAUCUCUGGCUCUAGCAUCGAUGAAGAACGCACGUAUGCGAUAAGUAGUGUGAAUUGCAGAAAU
rnacentral:rRNA from 1 species